rnacentral:rRNA from 1 species
UACGGGGGGAGCAAGCGUUGUUCGGAUUUACUGGGCGUAAAGGGCGCGUAGGCGGUCAGCACAAGUCAGUUGUGAAAUCUCCGGGCUUAACUCGGAAAAGUCAACUGAUACUGUGCGACUAGAGUGCAGAAGGGGCAACUGGAAUUCUCGGUGUAGCGGUGAAAUGCGUAGAUAUCGAGAGGAACACCUGCGGCGAAGGCGGGUGCUGGGCUGACACUGACGCUGAUGCGCGAAAGCCAGGGGAGCGAACGGG